UACGAAGGGUGCAAGCGUUACUCGGAAUUACUGGGCGUAAAGCGUGCGUAGGUGGUUCGUUAAGUCUGAUGUGAAAGCCCCGGGCUCAACCUGGGAAUUGCAUUUGAGACUGCGUAGCUAGGGUGCGGAAGAGGGAAGCGGAAUUUCCGGUGUAGCGGUGAAAUGCGUAGAUAUCGGAAGGAACACCAGUGGCGAAAGCGGCUUCCUGGUCCAGCACCGACGUUCAGGCACGAAAGCGUGGGGAGCAAACAGG
rnacentral:rRNA from 1 species